rnacentral:lncRNA from 1 species
UCAAGCACUUUUGGAUCUUUGGUCUUGGAUGACAUGGGCCUCCUGGAAUUGAAAGAUGACCUCCCGUGAAUUACCCCACAUGGACCUCUUGUGCCACAUGACAAAAGAAUUUACAACAAGCAGCAUGAGUGCCAAACGCAAGUCUCCCUAUCUCCUCAACCACCCAACUUCAAAGAAUUUAUAAACCACACACUACUGCACAUCCACAUGAUAGAUGGACCCUUGUACAACAUGGGGGCUCCUUGAGGGAACUGCAUGAGAAAGUCGAUGCCUUAACACAAUUGAUCGCCUAAACUAGACACUCAAACAUGCAAAUUCACAACAUAUGAACACAUGGGAGUCUUCUUCUCUCUACUUUACUUAAGAG